rnacentral:lncRNA from 1 species
UUCACUUUUUAGGUUAUAAGAGUUUUUGUACGGAUUGUAAUUGUAACUACUGAUAGUAGAUGAUUAAUGAUUUGAUUAAUGUUAUAUUCCUGAUUAUUAUUUGACACUGUAAUUGAAGCAAUCAAUGUAAUAAAGCAAAUGUAGCUGGAAGCAGUGGUUUAAAUGAUAAACCCCCAUACCGGAGCUCGAGGGCCACGGACAUGCCCUUACAUGAAACUGGAAGCAAUAGAUUAAAUGAUGGAACCCUGUGACUGAGCUCUUGAGCCUUGGCUUGGCUCACAUCUCAGAAGUUGGAUAAAGGAUCUAAUGUCCACAAGGUGCGUAAACGUCACUUGGCCUUCUAAAAGUUGGUUUGAUAAUAGAAACUACAGAAAAUAUGUGUAUAAAUGAUACAAGAUUUCAUUAACUUGUUCGAUAAGAGGAGCAAAAGACAGAUCGUUUUGUUUACUUAAAACCAAAAGGUUUUUGUUUGGUGCAUCUAGCAUAACUUUGUUUUCAGUUGAUCAAAUUAUUAACCAUUUCUUUUGUAUUGUUUGUUUUUGGGCUGUGAGAUGAGAAGCUGCCAUACACAAAGGAACAACUCAAGGAAUCAAACAGCUGAUGUAUGAUGAGAGGUAACUUAAGGGUUGAAGCAUUAGCUCUUUGGUGAAACUAACUAUGUCAUCAGCACAAGCCUUGAACAUGUUGAUAAGGAUAUGAAAUGCUAGAUGGUAAGAAUGGCAUUGGACAGAAUACACAGUAUUCUGGUGCAGUGCAGGUACUCAGAGAAAACUGAUUAACACAUAGCCUCGCUGCAAGAGCACACUGAUGUAAAGAAGGUUAAAUCUGAUAGAUGGUGGAGCCACUGCCAGCGGACCGAGUGCCAAGCUGCUGGUGAUCAGGGUCGCAGAGUCGCCGUACUGCAGUGCCGUGUACUUACACGAUAAGGAAGCGAAUCCCUCUAUAUGUGCAUUGAUUGAGAGUGUCGAGAUUCAAUGUUAUAAGAUUAAUAGCUGGCACGACUAUACUAGUCUUUAUAUACAUAUUGUAAAAUCUUAAUUGAGUGCCGAGUUAUGGCAGUGUGUAGUCUAGACCAGGCCAUGAUAGUAGGUAAAACAAACAAAGCUAUGUAUAGAUUGUGACUUAUGUCGAUUCGAAGAUUCUUGUAAUGUAAGCUUGUUGCGUGAAUCAAAUUUUAAACAAAAUAUUGAUAGGUAAAUUUAUGUUGGAAAACUGCUCAGAACAGGCCUUAAAGGCAGACUGUCUGGGGCAGGCCCUGAUUGUUGAUGAUGAUAUUAUUUACCAUAACAAACAUAUAAGAUUGAAAAGGUUAAUACCUUUUGAUUGAUUGAUUAUGAUGAAUGAAGGAGCAGACUGUCUGGAACAGGUCCUGACUGGGUUGGGCCUAACAUUCUAGAGCAGGCCGUGAAGGCAGACUGUCUAGAACAGGCUAUGAUACCAGUUUGGCAUUCUAGAGCAGGCCGUUAUGGCAGACUGUCUAGACCACACCAGUCUAGAGCAGGCCAUACCAAAUUAUAAAAUUAUAUUGAUUGAUUAGGUUGAAUGAAGGAGCAGACUGUCUGGAACAGGUUUGGGUAGUAGCCUGACAUUCUAGAGCAGGCCGUGAAGGCAGACUGUCUAGAACAGGCUAUAAUACCAUCUUGACAUUCUAGAGCAGGCCGAUAUGGCAGACUGUCUAGGCCACACCAGUCUAGAGCAGGCCAUAAUUUAAUUGAUUGAUUGGCAGACCGCCUUGAUUAGUCAAGAACGGGCCAUAACAAAUUAUAUUUUGUUGAUGAAAAGAGCAGGCCUUAAAGGCAGACUGCGGAUGUUUAUGGUAUAAUAUCUCUUAUUAAUAUGUUCAGAACAGGCCUUUAGGUUGACUGUUAAUGAUAUAUACUUUAUUAAUAUAAUUAGAACAGGCUUGUAAGCAGACUGAUUAUUAGUGAUAUAAUAUACUUUAUUAAUAUGAUAAGAGCAGGCCUAGUCUAGUAGGCAGACUGUGAUGUUAAUUAGAAAAUAUACUUUUGCUAAUAUGUUAUACUUUGGAACCGGCCUUGAAGGCAGACUGAGAUAGUUAAUGAUAUAAUAUAAAAACCUCGAUAAUAUGAUUAGAAUUGACUUUGUAAGCUGAAUGUGACUAUUAAUGAUAUAUUAUACUUAGUCAAUACUUAAAUAACAAGCCUAGUAGGCAGAGAUUGAUAAUGAUGUUUUAUAUACUUUGAUAAAA